UUUAAGGAAAUGAUUGGGUUUGGAUUUUUUUUUUUAAGAAAAAUUGGCAUUCAAACUGUUUUAGAAGUAUGUAUCAAUUAUCAGAAAUUGAUGCCCAUUAAGGAAAUUUCAAUGAAGCAAUUUUAUAUUAAACUUCAGACUUAAAGAGUUAAGUGAGGAACCUCUGACUCAGAAGAGCGAUGACUGGCCCAAGUUAGUUAACCAUAAAGUUAGUUGGCAGAAAUGGAUCUGGAACCAACGUCUUCUAACUUCUAUCCUCAGUCCACUACUUUUCCACCUCAACAUUAACCUACAUGGACUUUAAAAAUUACUCAACCAGAUCAGGCGGUGGAUUUCACUUCCCUGACUCCUUUUCACAGACUGAGUUGUUUUUUCCCAGCGUUGAAGACCAUUUGGUCCUUGAAGCUCCACUACCUCAGUUAUUUAAACAGUUGUGGGAAUGGUGGACACUUUAUACAAGGACCUCAGAGAAUUUUAAAAUUUUAUAUGAGGACAAAGACUUCACAUGCAUUCUUGAAGUAGUUCUACAAGGCCAGUAAUUAUCCUGGACUGACCUUCAUCUUCGAGGGACUUGCUGCUACUCCUUUUCCAGUCUCCCACCUGCUGCCAAAAACACCUUUUUAAUUAUUCAUUGAAAACAGUGAUUCCAUUUUCCCUUUUCUUCAUCCAUUUUCUGCCUUCUGCCUUUUUAUCUUGUAGUGAUUUAUCUCUACAGGUGUAAACAUGUGUGCAGAGAUUUAGCUGCAGAGAUGUUCAGUGCCAUGCUGCUGCUGCUGCUGCUGCUGCUGCUUUUUUUUUUUUUUUUAACAUUUUUUGUUGAGUUAUAGUCAUUUUACCCAUGCUGCUUCUAAUAGAGGAAAAGUUAGAAAUAAUUGCCAUGGCCACAAUACUGGACUGAUUAAUAUAUUUGUAAAAUACCAUGCCACUAUUAAAAAUCAGUGGUAAAUGAAUUUUCAGUGAUGUAAGGGGAUGCUCAUAUUCUGCUGUAUGGAAAAAAAACAGUUCAGAAAACAGAAUGUGUGGUUUGCAUGCAAUGCAUAUAUAGAUGCAUGUAUAGAAAAUGGUCUGAAUACCCUUAUAACACUAUAGUAAUAGUAGUUCUCCAAUGGAAAGAUGGGGUGGGGGGCUCUUUUCAUUUGCCUGUUUGUAUAUUCUGAUUUUUCUGUGUUGAAUAUGCAUUGCUGUUAUAGUAAGGAGAUCUGUGCUCAGAAACAUUGAGCAAAUUCUUACCUGUUUUAGAAAUAUUGGUUGUUUAUGACCCUGUAUAUGCAUAACGUAAUUUCACCAGUAAAAAAAAAAAAAAUACUAGCUGGUCAGUCUUUAGGAUUUUAAUGAAAGUCCUAAAAUCUUUUUAAGAGCUUGCAGUCUGGCCUUAUCUGUUCCUUCCCCUUCAUUCUCAAUAGAAGCACUCACCUUCAACUUGUCAGAAUGAAUUUUCUCCAUCACUUUCCAAUCAUGAGCAUUAUACAAGCGUUCAGAUGGCAUAGGUGCAUUAGGGAAGGGUGUGGUAAGAAGGAUUUGGGGCCACGGACAUACUGUAUCACGUUAGUCUCUGCUGUGAUGAAUGGCACACGAAUAAAGUAAAUGUGAUCUUGCGUUCUAAACUUCUACUCACAUAUACACAAUCCUGCAGGUGCUUCUUGCCUUGAGUUAGGAGGCUUGUCAAUAAAAUGCAUCUUCAGGAAACUAA